rnacentral:rRNA from 1 species
AUUGAACGCUGGCGGCAGGCCUAACACAUGCAAGUCGAGCGGAGCGCCGGACGGGGACGUAAUGCCUAGGACUCUGCCUGGUCGUGGGGGAUAGCGUCCGGUAACGGGCGCUAAUACCGCUUCCUCUCAGCAGCGCAUAGGUCGGAUUAGCUAGUGGGUGGGGUAAAGGCCUAGCAAGGCGACGAUCAGUAACUGGUCUGAGAGGAUGAGCAGCCACACUGGAAGUGAGACACGGUCCAGACUCCGACGGGAGGCAGCAGUGGGGAAUAUUGGACAAUGGGCGAAAGCCUGAUGCAGCCAUGCCGCGUGUGUGAAGAAGGUCUUCGGGUUGUAAAGCACUUUCAGUUGGUAGGCGUUACCAGCAGAAUAAGCACCGGCUAACUCCGUGCCAGCCGCCGCGGUAAUUC